UGCUCUUCAACAAAAAAAAGGUGUUAUAUUUGAAACAUACAAAAUUUAAGUGAUUAAUUGAAAUUAUAAAUAUUGAUUAUCAGGCUUAAUUCUACGCCCGCAUAAAAAAUAACAAAAAAAAGCUCUAAAAGCAUCUCCUCAAAAAUAAGCAAAUAACUUCAAAUACAUAUAUCACUAGUGUGUUCAUUUCUAAUUCGAAUGAGCGCAAUGAGUGGCCUACGCCAGCAAUUAAAGAUGCUGGGAACAGCAUUGCUGGGGAAACGUACCACAAAGUCUGUCAAAAAGAAACCAUUCACUGAAGUGGAAUUAAGAGGUAAGUUGAA